rnacentral:rRNA from 1 species
AACGUGAAAUCGCUGGAGUGGAACCGGAGAGAGUUGACGUAGUCGGGUAACUAAGUUCGCCAAAGUCGCUUAAUUGUGGCAGCGGCAGAUGUAUGUUGCCUAUGGCUGCGCUGACAGCGCUGGCUGUGCGUUCCGAACCGUUUGCGUUGCCCACUUCGGUGGUGUCUUGUCUGCGGGUAGGUUUGUCGUGGCUAGUGUUUUAUCCUGCUUGCAGGGUGUCAGUGUGAAAGUCGACCACCUCUCCGACCCGUCUUGAAACACGGACCGAGGAGUGUAACUUGUGCGCGAGUCAAAGGGUGGAAAACCCCAUGGCGAAAUGAAAGUAAAGGUCGGUUAACCGGCUGACAUGGGAUCCGCCUUUCGAGACGGCGCACCAUGGCCCUGUCUUGUCUGCUUGCAGAUGGGCAGCGGUAGAGCGUACAGGUUGCGACCCGAAAGAUGGUGAACUAUGCCUGAGCAGGACGAAGUCAGAGGAAACUCUGAUGGAAGUCCGUAUCGGUUCUGACGUGCAAAUCGAUCGAUAGACUUGGGUAUAGGGGCGAAAGACUAAUCGAACCAUC